rnacentral:misc_RNA from 1 species
CCAAUAGCGUAUAUUAAAGUUGUUGCAGUUAAAAAGCUCGUAGUUGAAUUUCGGGAUCAGUUGAUCGGUCGUGCCUCGGUACGUACUGGUCAAAUUGAUUCCUACCUUCUGACGAACCACGAUGUCAUUAAUUUGGUGUCGCGGGAAAUCAGGACUGUUACUUUGAAAAAAUUAGAGUGUUUAAAGCAGGCUCGCGCUUGAAUACAUUAGCAUGGAAUAAUGAAAUAGGCCGUUUGAUUCUAUUUUGUUGGUUUCUAGGAUCGACGUAAUGAUUAAUAGGGAUAGUUGGGGGCAUUAGUAUUCAAUUGUCAGAGGUGAAAUUCUUGGAUUUAUUGAAGACUAACUACUGCGAAAGCAUUUGCCAAGGAUGUUUUCAUUAAUCAAGAACGAAAGUUAGGGGAUCGAAGACGAUCAGAUACCGUCGUAGUCUUAACCAUAAACUAUGCCGACUAGGGAUCGGAUGAUGUUAAUUUUUUAAUGACUCAUUCGGCGCCUUACG